UUUGUGCAUAUGUCUGCAUUAUUACUUUAAUUAGUAUUAUUAUCAUUGCCGUUGCACAGCUUCUGACGCUGGAGGUGUACUACGGUGUCAGCUGUUCACUGCCAGUGAACUAAGGAAACACCUCUUAUUUUUCGAGCACCUUCCGGA